GCCCCGUCCCCCCGAAAGCCGGGGAGCUGACGCCACAACUGGGGGCUCUGCUGCAGGCCCUGAAACCCAGGCAGGGGGAACCCAACCUGCUGCGGUCGCUGUCGCUGCCAGAGGCAACGCCGCUCUGGGACCCCUCGCAGCCCCCCGGCAACGAUUUGGGGCUGUGGGAGCUGCCCCUCAGCCCCCCCCUGCAGAGCCCCAUCCUGGAGCAGCUGCAGCUGCAGCACAAGCUGCAGGAGCUCCGCGCCCGGCGGGAGGAGGACCAC